UACGUAGGGUGCGAGCGUUGUCCGGAAUUAUUGGGCGUAAAGAGCUCGUAGGCGGUUUGUCGCGUCUGUCGUGAAAGCCCACGGCUUAACCGUGGGUCUGCGGUGGAUACGGGCAGACUAGAGGCAGGUAGGGGAGAAUGGAAUUCCCGGUGUAGCGGUGAAAUGCGCAGAUAUCGGGAGGAACACCGGUGGCGAAGGCGGCAUCCUGGACCGACAUUUGACGCUGAGGAGCGAAAGCUAGGGGAGCAAACGGG
rnacentral:rRNA from 1 species